rnacentral:rRNA from 1 species
UCAAUAAGCGGAGGAAAAGAAACUAACAAGGAUUCCCCUAGUAACGGCGAGUGAAGAGGGAAGAGCCCAAGAUUGAAAGCUGGCGUCUUCGGCGUCCGCAUUGUAAUCUCAAGAAAUGGUUUCCGCUUCGGACCAAGCCUAAGUCCCUUGGAAAAGGGCAUCAUAGAGGGUGAUAAUCCCGUUCUUGGCUUGGAGCGCCCGUAGCUUUGUGAUCUAUUUUCUAAGAGUCGAGUUGUUUGGGAAUGCAGCUCAAAAUGGGUGGUAAAUGCCAUCUAAGGCUAAAUAUUGGGGAGAGACCGAUAGCGAACAAGUACAGUGAUGGAAAGAUGAAAAGAACUUUGAAAAGAGAGUUAAACAGUACGUGAAAUUGCCAAAAGGGAAGGGUAGGAGGUCAGAGAUGCGGCCUGGGAUUCAGCCUUGCUUUUGCUUGGUGUUUUUCCCAGUUUGCAGGCCAACGUCGGUUUUGGGCACUGGAGAAGGGUAGGAGGAAUGUGGCACCUCUCGGGGUGUGUUAUAGCCUCCUACUGGAUACAGCGACCGAGACCGAGGACAGCAGCGUACUCGCAAGAGCGGGCCUUCGGGCACCUUUACGCUUAGGGCGUUGGCAUAAUGGCCCUCUACCACCCGUCUUGAAACACGGACCAAGGAGUCU